CCUACACUUAAUUUCUUCCUUCCUCCCUUUUUCUCUCACAGAUCCCAAAAAACGAGAUCGUAAAAGCCAUUUGUUCUCUUUUUCCGAUCACCGGUAGUUACAUUUUCCUCUCCUUUCACGGCGGAACGCGGCGGCGGCGGUGGAUGGCAAGAACCAAUAAAUAUACCUCCCUUAACUUUAACGACAUCUACGAGAAGAAAACUACUCCCAACUCCGCCACCUCUGGUAAAUCAAACUCUUCUUCGUCGUCGUCGUUCGAUAGUCGUAACAAGACUAUUAUCUCCAACUCUCGUAUCCAUGGACAUAUGCUUGUUCUGAGCCGGCCUACUCCAAAGCCAAUCGCUAUUCCACAAACCCAGCCUAUUCCGAUCCAGCAACAACCAAAGUUACAAAGCCCGAGCGCACCGGAUCAAAUCCGAGCUGGAGCUGGAGCUGAAUCUGACUCUAUCUCGCUUCGUCCACAAGGCCGUACUGGGGCUGGACCCACCACCACCACCUCACUUUCAUCAUCUCCUGUGAAUCCGCCUUCACCUUUGCAGUCGCCUUUGCCAAAGUCGAACCGGUUCGUGCCCCCACAUCUGAGACCGGGAUUUGUAGGCAGGGAGGAGAAACCGGUCCCGGAUGUUGCGAAGGGUGGUCAGGGAGUGAGGGCUAGACCGGAGGUUGGGGGUGGUCAGCAUUAUCAUCAGGGAUAUCUUGGGUCGUCACCUAAUAGGUACGGAGACAACGGUAGGCCGAAAUCUGGAGGUGGGUAUGAUCGAAUGAGGAGAGGAUUUAGUGAAGCUGAUUCUGUGAACUUUGUGAACCGGCCUAGUUCUAGCGGAGCUCGGCCCAACUCUAGUGGAUGAUGGCAUCAUGUUCUGUUUAUGUCAGUUGGAACUUGGAGGAGGCUUUUUGGUUGAAAAAGUGUGACAAAGAACUUCACUCGGUUUCUUGAGGAAACUUUUAGGGAUUUUGUUUGUGCAAAUCUUUUUCAAAAAGUGAAGAUCCUGAUGGAGCUUAGCUCCCCUUUGCCGAUGAGGAUGGAGAGGUCUUUUCUGAGGCAAAUAGGCUUGCAAGAUCAGCUAUGGAUGGAUGUUAAUGGUUGUUGAAGUCAUGGAAGUAGGAUUAUGACCAGGUUGCUCCUUUUGUCUGCAGUAGUCCAGUAACCAGAUUAUGAGUUGCUGGUUUUAAACGAAGACGUUCAAGGAUCAAAGAUCGAUCAAAUUGUUUCUUUCAUUUACCGCCUUCUAAUUUUCUUUGCUUUCAUAUCUACCUUCUCUACUCUCUCAGGAAGAGAGAAGACUUGGAUGAAAUGUAAUGUAUUGUAUGUUUUACUCUAUGUUAUACUGUGCAACUACCAUAAAUUGGUGUAUUCUGAUGGUUUAAUACCACCAUCACCAUAUUGUAUUUCCAGACUUAUCUGUAUCACAGUGCAUACUAAUUUUCUGUUUUCAAGGUUU